rnacentral:rRNA from 1 species
CCUACGGGAGGCAGCAGUGGGGAAUUUUCCGCAAUGGACGAAAGUCUGACGGAGCGACGCUGCGUGAAGGAUGAAGGCCCGUGGGUUGUAAACUUCUUUUCUCGAAGAAGAAAAAAAUGACGGUAUUCGAGGAAUAAGCAUCGGCUAACUCUGUGCCAGCAGCCGCGGUAAGACAGAGGAUGCAAGUGUUAUUCGGAAUGAUUGGGCGUAAAGAGUCUGUAGGCGGUUUAGAAAGUCUUUUGUGAAAUACUUCAGCUCAACUGAGGCUCCGCAAAAGAAACUUCUAGACUUGAGGAAAGUAGAGGUACAGGGAAUUUCCGGUGGAGCGGUGAAAUGCGUAGAUAUCGGAAGGAACACCAAUAUGGCGAAGGCACUGUACUGGGCUUUUCCUGACGCUCAGAGACGAAAGCUGAAGGAGUGAUUAGGAUUAGAUACCCUAGUAAUUUCAGCCGUAAACGAUGAAAACUCACUGUCGAGCCAAUAUAUGGAGCGGUGGUCAAGCUAACGCGUGAAGUUUUCCGCCUGGGGAUUACGCUUGCAAAAGUGAAACUCAAAGGAAUUGACGGA